AGCCAAGAUGAUGAGUUGGUUUAGAUCUGAUUUAAGAUGUUGAAUCGCAUUUUAUCGUUAUGGUCUUCAAAGUUCUCUGAUUCGCU
rfam:Ricinus communis cultivar Hale ctg_1100012360848, whole genome shotgun sequence.